AAAGGAAUAGACGGGGGCCCGCACAAGCGGUGGAGCAUGUGGUUUAAUUCGACGCAACGCGAAGAACCUUACCAAGGCUUGACAUCCUACGAAUCCUGUAGAGAUACGGGAGUGCCCUCUUUGAGGGAACGUAGAGACAGGUGGUGCAUGGUUGUCGUCAGCUCGUGUCGUGAGAUGUUGGGUUAAGUCCCGCAACGAGCGCAACCCCUAUAUUCAGUUGCCAGCACUUCGGGUGGGAACUCUGGAUAGACUGCCGGUGACAAACCGGAGGAAGGUGGGGAUGACGUCAAAUCAUCAUGCCCCUUAUGUCUUGGGCUACACACGUGCUACAAUGGGCGGUACAGACGGAAGCGAAGCCGUGAGGCGGAGCAAAUCCGAGAAAGCCGUUCUCAGUUCGGAUUGCAGGCUGCAACUCGCCUGCAUGAAGUCGGAAUCGCUAGUAAUCGCAGGUCAGCACACUGCGGUGAAUACGUUCCCGGGCCUUGUACACACCGCCCGU
rnacentral:rRNA from 1 species